CGACGCCUAAGCCCACUCCUUGGACUUAGUUAGGCUGAGGUAGGCUAGUUCAUGACUUAGUUGGGAACCAACUAUAUAUCCCACAUCAAUUAGGAACAUUACAGUGAAAGUUUUUAUAUAAACGCAGCAGCAGGGUUAGCUUCUUCCUUCGGGGACAUCCGAUAAAAUUGGAACGAUACAGACAAGAUUAGCAUGGCCCCUGCCAAAGGAUGACAUGCACAAAUCGAGAAAUGGUCUAAAUUUUUUUUAUUUUUUUGGUUGUUGCUUUUUCCAGAUUGAAAACCAGCUUCAAGUUCAGCCAAUUUGUUUUCUGGUCUCCGCUAUCAGAACCCAGCUCUCAAUACAAAGCUAGGAGUCUAUACACACACAACUGUGGGCUUGAAAUUGUUACAAUGUCAUGGUGCCAUGAUGAGUACAUGUAUCUGGUGAUCACUCACCUUAUAACACCAACUCUAACCUUCGUUUUUCAUCUUAUUAAUUCAAAUGGCAUGGCAACAUUUUUCAUCA